CCACGGCCUUGACAUGCAGAGAACUUUCCAGAGAUGGAUUGGUGCCUUCGGGAACUCUGACACAGGUGCUGCAUGGCUGUCGUCAGCUCGUGUCGUGAGAUGUUGGGUUAAGUCCGUAACGAGCGCAACCCUUGUCCUUAGUUACCAGCACGUUAUGGUGGGCACUCUAAGGAGACUGCCGGUGACAAACCGGAGGAAGGUGGGGAGUGACGUCAAGUCAUCAUGGCCCUUACGGCCUGGGCUACACACGUGCUACAAUGGUCGGUACAAAGGGUUGCCAAGCCGCGAGGUGGAGCUAAUCCCAUAAAACCGAUCGUAGUCCGGAUCGCAGUCUGCAACUCGACUGCGUGAAGUCGGAAUCGCUAGUAAUCGUGAAUCAGAAUGUCACGGUGAAUACGUUCCCGGGCCUU
rnacentral:rRNA from 1 species